CUACGUGCCAGCAGCCGCGGUAAUACGUAGGGCGCGAGCGUUGUCCGGAAUUAUUGGGCGUAAAGGGCUUGUAGGCGGUUGGUCGCGUCUGCCGUGAAAUUCUCUGGCUUAACUGGGGGCGUGCGGUGGGUACGGGCUGACUUGAGUGCGGUAGGGGAGACUGGAACUCCUGGUGUAGCGGUGGAAUGCGCAGAUAUCAGGAAGAACACCGGUGGCGAAGGCGGGUCUCUGGGCCGUUACUGACGCUGAGGAGCGAAAGCGUGGGGAGCGAACAGGAUUAGAUACCCUGGUAGUCCACGCUGUAAACGUUGGGCACUAGGUGUGGGGGCCAUCCGUGGUUUCUGCGCCGUAGCUAACGCUUUAAGUGCCCCGCCUGGGGAGUACGGCCGCAAGGCUAAAACUCAAAGGAAUUGACGGGGGCCCGCACAAGCGGUGGAGUAUGUGGUUUAAUUCGACGCAACGCGAAGAACCUUACCAAGGCU
rnacentral:rRNA from 1 species